AAUAAAUACACCAAUGGAGUUUAAUUGACAUUGUUUAUAGAAUCCUAGUUCAAUGACAAACUAAAUGACUAAAUUGAAAUAUUAAGUUAUGUGAUAAAGUAACUGUUUUCCAUAACUGAAUUCUUUUCAGAGUCUCCCAGGCAGAAGACCAUGUCCAGACCAGAAGAGAAGAGAGAGAUAUAUCCUCUUUCAGAAGGAAGUAAGUACAGUUAAUUUGAACUACAAAUGUGGAAUUUUUUUAUUUUUAAGAUUAUAAAUUGCAUGUAGCACAUUAGCAACACUACAGUAAUGCUAAUGUGACAAUAGUGUAAGAAAAUCCUAACCCAAUUCCUUUAAAAUGCUGAUAUAAAAUGUAAAUUAUUUCAGAGUUUCAGAAACGGGUAUUGGGCCUUCUGAUAGAGAUGAGGGAUGACUUGAGGCGUUUGGGUAGGUCCACAGAACUGGUGGACUCCCAAUUCCACAUCAGGAGGCUGACCACAAUGGAAGAGUUCUGUGCAUACGAGCAAGCACUUGACAGCAUGGACAAUCAAAACCUGCUGAUAAACCAACUUCAGAGAGUAGGUGGCAGUGAUGUCAGAGAGAAUGUUUUCACAGUCUUGUCAAGACUUAUGACAAAUGAACCGAUGACAGAAUUCAACUUCGCUGGCACAAACCGAAAAGAUAAACAACAAAAGAGGGGCCUGGGAGACACAAAUCUUUAUAGAGUAAUUAAAGCUGCGGUACUGAAGUCCCACCCUACAUCGACAGAAAAAGAUAUGAAGGAGCACGCAAUGCAUUACUUGAAGAAUGCAUAUGCAAGGCAGGGGGCCAGGAGAUCUGGACAUUGAAAAUAAUAGGUUUCUGGUCCUGUUAGGACAAUUAGAUAGGGUUUGCAAAUGGUGGACAAAAAUAGUCUUAACUUCUAUUGUAAUAUUUUUUUUUCUUGGAAAUAUAGAAGUUGUACAUUUUAAACUAAAGUUACCCGUAUAAUAGACCUCUAACCAUAUACGUAUAAUAGACCUCUAAAGUUAUCCGUAUAAUAGACCUCUAACCAUAUACGUAUAAUAGUCCUCUAAAGUUAUCCGUAUAAUAGACCUCUAAAGUUAUCUGGAACUCCAACCAUAUAUGUUUAAUAGUCCUCUAAAUUUAUCCGUAUAAUAGAACUCCAACCAUUUAUGUAUAAUGAACGUCUAAUCAUAGACGUAUAAUUGACGUAUAACAAUAGACGUAUAUU
rnacentral:lncRNA from 1 species